rnacentral:rRNA from 1 species
GACGAACGCUGGCGGCGUGCUUAACACAUGCAAGUCGAACGGAAAGGCCCUGCUUGCAGGGUACUCGAGUGGCGAACGGGUGAGUAACACGUGGGUGAUCUGCCCUGCACUUCGGGAUAAGCCUGGGAAACUAGGUCUAAUACCGGCUAGGAGCCAUUUUUAGUGUGAUGGUUGGAAAGUUUUUUCGGUGUAGGAUGAGCUCGGGGCCUAUCAGCUUGUUGGUGGGGUAAUGGCCUACCAAGGCGGCGACGGGUAGCCGGCCUGAGAGGGUGGACGGCCACAUUGGGACUGAGAUACGGGCCAGACUCCGACGGGAGGCAGCAGUGGGGAAUAUUGCACAAUGGGCGCAAGCCUGAGGCAGCGAGGCCGCGGGGGGGAUGACGGCCUUCGGGUUGUAAACUCCUAUCGCUAGGGAAGAAGCUUUUUGUGACGGUACCUAGAUAAGAAGCACCGGCUAACUACGUGC